rnacentral:lncRNA from 1 species
AGCGAUUAGCAAUACAUAUAAGUAUCGGUAUCUUUUAUAACUACCGUCACUUUCAAAAAACAUCGUAAAAUUAGUUUUCGACGAUAGCAUAGCCGACGCUUUUACGAUAUUUUAGAAAGUAUCAGGAAUAAAACUACGAACGCUUUUUCGCAUUGGUAUAUAUCUUAAAAGAUGUCGGCAAUGGCUGAUUUUUUUGUAGUAUUUUGGCGGUACAAAAUUAUAUUUAUUGAUGGUUUAGAUUGGCUGAGUCGCUGUCGAGGGAGAAGAGAAUGUGGGCUUAGCGGACGGCAUGAACGCGAUGCUUCGUGAUAUUACGUGUAGUGCCCUCUUGUUGAGGUCAAGUGCUGCACCACCUAUAUUAGAAGCAAUCAAUUUCAAUCAAUGGGCUGCUUCCAUCGAUCGGUC